rnacentral:rRNA from 1 species
UACGUAGGGUCCAAGCGUUAUCCGGAAUCACUGGGCGUAAAGCGUGCGUAGGUGGCGCGUUAAGUGAGAUGUUAAAUCGUGUGGCUCAACCAUAUCGAUGCAUCUCAUACUGGCGUGCUAGAGGACAGCAGAGGCAAGUGGAAUUUGUAGUGUAGCAGUGAAAUGCGUAGAUAUCGGAAGGAACACCAGUGGCGAAAGCGGCUUCCUGGUCCAGAACCGACGUUCAGGCACGAAAGCGUGGGGAGCAAACAGG